rnacentral:misc_RNA from 1 species
ACGGACGAGAACGACUACCAGAUCAAGCUGCGCAACGUCAUCCGUUUCCUGGAAGACGGCGACAAAGCCAAGAUCACCUUGCGCUUCCGUGGCCGUGAAAUGGCCCACCAGGAAAUCGGCAUGGCGCAACUCAAGCGCAUUGAAGCCGAUUUGGGUGAACUGGCCGUUGUAGAGCAGUUCCCCAAGCUCGAAGGUCGCCAGAUGGUCAUGAUGCUGGCGCCGAAGAAAAAGGUCUGAUGAUUUAAACCGGACUGGCAGCUACGUCCGGCAAGGCAGUCCAACUGCCGGUAGCUGCAAACAAAAGCGUGGUGGCGGGCACCAA